GCUGGGGCAGUCUCAUUCCUGAGCAGUAUUGUGGGGGUGGGGAGGCAUGCCUGCCAAAGCAAGGCCCCCAGGGCGAUCCCCCUGUUUGCUGGGGCAGCAGAGAAGCUUCCCCCGGCUCUGGGGCCGUCCUGCCUCCGAGCCAUCUGCUGUGCAGGGCUGGGCUCUCGGGGAAUCCUGAGUGCUGUCUGCCCCGUCCCCCUCUGAGAACGUGGCAGCUCAGAGCCACUGCUCUCAAGGGGGGGAUUAGGCUUUGGGCCUGAAUAAAUAAUUAGGAAUUGGCUGCUGAGAGAAUGUCCCCAGUGAUUGCUUGCUCUGGAAUUUUGCUGGGUGGCACACAGAGUUUUAUUACCCAAUUAAAAUACAGCAGAUUAAAUCGUGCAAAAGGAAGAUGGAGCGAGCAAUAAAUCUGCUGUGGAAUGGGCUACGGAAGGCCCACCCCGAAAAGCAGGAACUAUUCCGAGAGAAUGAGGAAGGAGUCGUCCGUUGGGCCGAAGGGAAUCGCUGGCGCAGCGUUUUCCUGGAGGGAGCCUGCCUGCCCCGAGGACCACGGGGGUGGCGCGGCGGCCUCGGUCGGAACCUGAAUGCUCCGGUCAGAGCAAGUUCUAAAACGUCAGCAAAGUAAGAAGAGGCAGGACCAUGUCAGCCACACCUGGAAGCAUCCGUUUCUUGCUGUGUUCGGUCCGGAGCUGCCAGAGCAAAGGUCCAAGGCCAGGGGGCGUCCUCGGAGGAGACGUGUGGUCCCUCGGCCUGGAGGCCGCGGGGUGGGCCGCUGGGUGCCUCUGAGGGCCGGUAGGGAGGGGCCUGUCCCGGGCCCUCUCCGUGCCCGCCUCCCCGGUGCUUGUAUGGCACUGUGCCCCUGCGCGUGUCCCCUUUUAUAAGGACGGCAGUCACAUGGCGGCAGGCUCCACCCCAUGCCCGCUUUUAGCUCCAUCACCUCUGCGCAGACCUGAUUCUAGUAGGUAGGGGGUUAGGACGUCAACAGAGGAGUUUGGGGGGCGCACCAUCCAACCCAUAACACGUGACUUCCUGGACAAACAGUGAGGUUCUACUUUGCGGAGCUGGCAUGGCCUUCCCGGCCUGGCCCCGGGGCGCACCGGCGAGCCUCUCACAGCCCCGGGGGCUCCUUGGCGGGGCUGGCUUUCCACUCGCAGGUGGGACCCAUGCUCCGAUCCCCCCUGAGAGAAGCCGCUGCUCCUGUUCGGCCCUUGGCGAAGGGGGCAAAUGCUGGGUGUGCUUAUCUUGACGCUGAGUUAAUGAACAUGUCACCUUCGAAAAAGUACAGACCCUUCCCUUCCCACCUUGCGCAGGGCUGCUAGGUGUUGUGUCUAGGACCAACAGGUCUGCCACUCACGCCUGAAAGGACUGUGUAAAGUGUUUCUCUAGGUAAGUGCACCUCAGACAUCCAAGCUUUUAGAGGAGACGAUUGGCUGCUCUUGUCUGGCGGCCGCCAUGUCCAGCCAUUGAACGAAACGAAGCCUGGAUGCUGCAAGAGUUUUCUUCGAAUUGUGUCAACAUUAAUGUCCUUGCCUUUGUUGUACAGCAAAGCAGAUUAACAGUGGGAACAAAAGUCUGUGUCCCAGGCAGCUGGGUGCCCCGGGGCUGCACCUGUCAACAGGGCCCACGCCGGCUCCACGCCUCCCGGCUCCCGGGGGCUGCACCCCGCAUGGGAAGGCCUCCUGGUCGAGAAGCUCUCGAUGGCCUGUUGCUGUAAACCGAUUCCCUUCCUUCCUUCCGCAAAUGCUUCCUGAGCAGCUGCUCCGCCCUGUCACUCUCCCAGGAGACAGGGAUACAGGAGGCGUCAGAGCCAAGACACACAUCCCCCUGGGAGUCACGGAGCAACAACCUGGUCAGGUUGGACAGCGGGCGUUGUAGGCGAGGGGAUAAAUGCUGACAACAGUAAAGCAGGUAAGGAGAUCAGAAUGCGGGGCUCGGGACAGAGCUGCCAUAUUUUAAAGCAGUUGGUCUCAUUAAGAGGUGACAUCUGAGCAGAGAUUUGAAGGUGGAGAGGAGGUUUUCCCUGUGGUUCCUGGGGUGAGUACGUCAGCAGAGAGCAGCCAGGGGCCCCAAGUCCCUCAGCUGGCGUGUGCUCAGUGUGCAGAAUGAGGAGGCCUUGCAGGGAGUCAUCCAAAGAGAGACUAGUGGACGGGGUGCGGGGGGUGGGGUGGAGCGUGUCCUCCUGGGCCUCUGAUAGGACUUCGGCGUGUAUCUUAUGGGAAAAGAGCACCAUGGCAGCAUUCUGAGCAUAAAAGAUAAAUGAGCUGAAUUAUUUUGUACCCCGUUAGGAGGUGCAUGAAUAUCUUUCUGGCUGCUCUGUUGAGAAUAGAUGGCAGGAACGAGAGGGUAGAAGCAGAGAGGCCAGGCAGGAGGCUGCGACUUAACUUGAGGUAUCAGCUGCCAGACUGGGGAGAGCCGUGGUGGUGGUGAGUGCUUAGCCCCGGGGUAUGUUUGGAAGGCAGAGCCCAGAGGGUUUCCUGGUGAACUGGGCACUGGAAUGAGAGGAAGACAGGGAUCUGUCCUGCGUCUCUGGGAGGAUGGACUGCCGCCAGCCAAGGGGGGUGAGUAGCACGGACUGUGGGAGGGAGGUCCAGAGGCAGGGCUGGACACGCCGAGUGUGCACAGUGUGACGUCCUUGCUCCUCUGUGCAUGCCCCCUUGUGCAAGAACCGUUCUCACCAGAACGAGGGUGACUAGGUACACUGUGACCUCAUCAAGCAGGCCUGGAGUGGUGUCAUGGUAAGGACACACAAGAAGUUCACGACCUGAAAGAGGGCCCACACUUCACCCUGCCAGGCCUUGGCCUUCCAGCCCCUGAACUGUCAGGAAUAAAUUUCUGCUGCUUAUAAGCUACUCCAUGUGUGGUAUUUUGUUAUAGCAUCCUGAGUGGACUAAGAUAGAUGCAUUGAUGAACAAGAAAUCCUUUUCUUUGUUCUGGUCUCUUCCAGGACAUUAAAGGCGAUCCUAGUCAGAACCCCUAGCCCAGUGCCCUCCGUCUUCCCCACGGGCUCUG